AAAGUUUGACAGACAAUCGCUGGCGGCUUUACAGCCGCGAGAGGAAAGUCCGGGCUCCAUAGGGCAGGGUGCUGGAUAACGUCCAGUCAGCGCGAGCUGAAGGAUAGUGCCACAGAAAUGGACCGCCGAUGGCAGGAUUGUUAAACCUGCACAGGCAAGGGUGGAACCGUGGUGUAAGAGAUCACGAGGGGUGCAGGUGACUGUACUCCUGGUAAACCCCACUUGGAGCAAGACCUAAGAGGGACGCAGACCGCAUGAAGCGGUAGUCUUUGCCCGAGACGCGUCCGGGUUGGUCGCUUGAGCUGUGCAGUAAUGUACAGCCUAGAUAGAUGAUUGUCGCUUCAACGGUGGGAGGGGUCGCUCCCGUUAUACCACUGGAAGUACAGAACCCGGCUUACGGCAAACUUUCGUC
rfam:Paenibacillus larvae subsp. larvae DSM 25430, complete genome.